AUUGAACGCUGGCGGCAGGCCUAACACAUGCAAGUCGAGCGGAUGAGAGGAGCUUGCUUCUCGAUUCAGCGGCGGCCGGGUGAGUAAUGCCUAGGAAUCUGCCUGGUAGUGGGGGACAACGUUUCGAAAGGAACGCUAAUACCGCAUACGUCCUACGGGAGAAAGCAGGGGACCUUCGGGCCUUGCGCUAUCAGAUGAGCCUAGGGCGGAUUAGCUAGUUGGUGAGGUAAUGGCACACCAAGGCGACGAUCCGUAACUGGUCUGAGAGGAUGAUCAGUCACACUGGAACUGAGACACGGUCCAGACUCCUACGGGAGGCAGCAGUGGGGAAUAUUGGACAAUGGGCGAAAGCCUGAUCCAGCCAUGCCGCGUGUGUGAAGAAGGUCUUCGGAUUGUAAAGCACUUUAAGUUGGGAGGAAGGGUUGUAGAUUAAUACUCUGCAAUUUUGACGUUACCGACAGAAUAAGCACCGGCUAACUCUGUGCCAGCCGCCGCCGUAACAC
rnacentral:rRNA from 1 species